rnacentral:lncRNA from 10 species
CUCACGCCUGUAAUCUCAGCACUUUGGGAGGCCAAGGCAGGUGGGUCAUUUGAGGUCAGGAGUUCGAGACUAGCCUAGCCAACAUGGUGAAACCCCAUCUCUACUAAAAAUACAAAAACUUAGCUGGGCGUGGUGGCACGCACCUGUAAUCCCAGCUACUCGGAGGCUGAGAUAGGAGAAUAGCUUGAACCCGUGGGAAGGAGGUUUCAGUGAACCGAGAUCAUGGCACUGCACUCCAGCCUGGGUGACAAAGUGAGACUCCGUCUCAAAAAAAAAAAAUCAUUAAUCUAUAUGGCCUCUUGUUACAUGAAAACAUGUGAUAAAUUGGUAUUGACUUAUAGUUUGGAAAUGACUGAUUUGGGAUGUAUUGCUCUCUAUUCCAAGUUCUGUGACUCCCCAAAUGAAGUAGAAACCCAGUGGGACCGGGAACUAAAGAUAUCAGGAAUCCCGUUGUAUUUCCUCCUCUCAUAAGUGGCUCUUCCUCUGUCUGCACACCACCGCUCAGCUGCUCGUUCCACAUGGCAGGUAGAAGAGGCCAGCCCACAGCUCCCAAGUAUGUAUCUCCUCCGUUCAACCUUCCCAGAUUGAAUUGGAUACUCCUGAUUCUAAUUACAGAUUUGUGUGUGUGUGUGUGUGUGUGUGUGUGUGUGUGUGAGAGAGAGAGAGAGAGAGAGACAUCACAAGAGUGAGAGUGAUAUUGCUGGUCCAAUCCCUGUGGCAGAGUCAUCAAACACACACUUGGUAUGUAGGACUGCCCACCUGGGAGUGAAGCGGGCAGACACCUCAGGAGGUGGGUGUUUUGGGUAUUUUAACUCUGUUUGAUCGUAGAAGUAUUUAGGUCCUAUACCAUUGUUUUCACCCGCUGAGGGACAGUAAUAUGUCUCUCCUGAAGGGAAAACAUCUUUCUACUCCAGGCUCGGUGGCUAGCUCAGCUAUAGCAGAAAUGCUCUACCAUACUAGCAGCCUGAAGUCCUGGGAUUAACUUACAGUUCACAAGGUACCGGCUGUGUGACUUCAGGCAAUUUAUAUAACCUCCCUGAGUCUCUGUGUACUGAUUUCGGAAGAAUCAGAAAAUGCAAACAAUUGCAACUAGAAAAAGAAAACCACACUCUUGGCUGGGCACAGUGGCUCAUGACUGUAAUCCCAGCACUUUGGGAGGCCGAGGUGGGUGGAUCAUGAGGUCAGGAGUUCGAGACCAGCCUGGCCAACAUAGUGAAACCCCCGUCUCUACUAAAAAUACAAAAAUUAGCCGGGCAUGGUGGUGUGAGCCUAUAUUCCCAGCUACUCAGGAGGCUGAGUCAGGAGAAUCACUUGAACCCGGGAGGCAGAGGCUGUGGUGAGCCGAGAUCGUGCCACUGCACCCCAGCCUGGGCAACAGAGUGAGACUCUGUCUCAAAAAUUAAAUAAAUAAAUAAAUACAAUAAAAAGAAAACCUCACUCUGUGUCCCCUUCUUUCUCCCUUUCUCUAGGCUCCUUUUUAUGUAAUACACACAAGCACAGACUGCAGGAGUCUAGGUUUAGUUUCAAAGCUUUGGCAGUGCCUUUAUGUCUUUGUGUAGAAAAGGGAGAAGCCAUUUAAGAGGUACCUGACUCUUCAAUAGGCUUGCUUAUUAUCCCCAGCAGGCCUAAGGGAGCACAGUUUUGAAAAGCCAAGGAUCAAAAAAAAUAAAUACAACUUGUUCUGUGUUGCAAAGAGAAGUCCUAACUCCAUGGCGAGGGAGGCAGCUUUGCAAAUUACAAGGGUAGAGGGAGUGAGGUCACUAGGGCAGGAACAAUUUGUAAAACCCAAGUGUGGAGAACUGUGUAAACCUCCAGGGGAAGGUAGGUGAGGAGGUGUUAUAAAGGACUGGUGUGGGAGGGGUAAGUUCCCCUUCCUGUUCUGACAGCUGGAGGCAGCAGGGCUACCUCUACCCCACAGGGCCCCUUGGUGCAAGUUAUAAACAGGUGCCCCCUCUCUGAGUGGCGCAGCUCACAGUUUGAUGAGAGGAGUGUUGGCCAGGCACCAUGAGCACUGCAUGACUCCCAAGGCUAUGCUCCAUGGCCUGAGUGGCAGGCCUCAUUGCAAAUCAGUGGGCUGCAGAGGAACAUCUGCCAACAGGCAUAGAUCCAAAGGGAGAUGGAACAAGGGCAAUGCCCAGGACUCUCCCCAUCUCCAGACAUGCCUUGUAGAAUGAGAAGAGGAGAGACCAAGCACACAGGUUUUAUGUGUAGCCCAGCUCUCUACCCUCUGAGAUUACUUAAAAUUGCCUCUAACCUCCAAUCCCAGACCCCAUGAAGGAAACCCACAGACUCUUCAAGGAUCCCAUGAACUCCCAUGGAUUCCAUUCUCACAUGAUCCCUCUUCUUUUGGGAUUCCACACAUAUGAUCUCAUUGCUUUCUCCAAGUUGUACAAAUACUACUCAUACUAAGCAUUCAUAUGGGUAGCAUGUAUUAUGAAAGAUUUGGAGGUGGAGUACAGGGAGAUGAUGAAGGAAGUGUUUAAAUUGAAGUGAUGUACACUUAAACUUUGCAUAAGGAUCAACUCCAAUCUUAAUUUUUUUUUCAGUUGUCCUACUAUUCUAAGGGUUUCUCACUAACCUUUAACUCUGUAUCUUUUAAAAUGUUCCUGGCUUCAUUCUCUCCCCUUCCCAUUUCCUCUUUCCUCUAGAACUGCCCUCUGUACCCCAAAGUGGUUUUCCUCUAUUAUGCUGAGCAAUUUUGCUCUCUCCAGUUCUGAACCUCCAACUUGAAUAUUUGAAUCCAUCAUGUAGGGUCUUAUAUUUAAUGGAAUCCAUCCUCUGUAAUACAUAUGAUACAGCUAUAAAAACCUAAGGAAAAAAACGUUGGCUUUAUUCAACCAUGCAACUUGCCUGGGAACCUCCUCAGUUAUGUGAUUUUUUUUUUCUUUUUCUUUUGAGAUGGAGUCUCGCUCUGUCACCCAGGCUGGAGUGCAGUGGUGCAAUCUUGGCUCACUGCAGCCUCUGCCUCUUGGGUUCAAGAGAUUCUCCUGCCUCAGCCUCCCAAGUAGCUGGGAUUACAGGUGCACGC